CAGAAACAAUGCUAUCUAGCGCCAUAUAUUUUAAAUGACCAUUGGAUGUUGAUGGCAAUUUGUCCUCAACUUAAUGAAAUCUAUUGGUUUGAUUCAAUUGGAGGCCAGCCACGUGAUGACAUCAAAGAUAUUGUUGAAAAGUGUGUCAAUUCAGCAAAGUUGUUGAGAAGCAAUGGAUCAACUCGUUCACCAAAAUGG